rnacentral:rRNA from 1 species
GGUUAAGCGACUAAGCGUACACGGUGGAUGCCCUGGCAGUCAGAGGCGAUGAAGGACGUGCUAAUCUGCGAAAAGCGUCGGUAAGGUGAUAUGAACCGUUACAGCCGGCGAUGUCCGAAUGGGGAAACCCAGUGCAAUUCGUUGCACUAUCGUUAACUGAAUACAUAGGUUAACGAGGCGAACCGGGGGAACUGAAACAUCUAAGUACCCCGAGGAAAAGAAAUCAACCGAGAUUCCCCCAGUAGCGGCGAGCGAACGGGGAGCAGCCCAGAGUCUGAAUCAGCUUGUGUGUUAGUGGAACGGUCUGGAAAGUCCGACGGUACAGGGUGAUAGUCCCGUACACCAAAAUGCACAGGCUGUGAACUCGAAGAGUAGGGCGGGACACGUGGUAUCCUGUCUGAAUAUGGGGGGACCAUCCUCCAAGGCUAAAUACUCCUGACUGACCGAUAGUGAACCAGUACCGUGAGGGAAAGGCGAAAAGAACCCCGGCGAGGGGAGUGAAAAAGAACCUGAAACCGUGUACGUACAAGCAGUGGGAGCACCUUCGGGUGUGACUGCGUACCUUUUGUAUAAUGGGUCAGCGACUUAUAUUCUGUAGCAAGGUUAACCGUAUAGGGGAGCCGCAGGGAAACCGAGUCUUAACUGGGCGUUAAGUUGCAGGGUAUAGACCCGAAACCCGGUGAUCUAGCCAUGGGCAGGUUGAAGGUUGGGUAACACUAACUGGAGGACCGAACCGACUAAUGUUGAAAAAUUAGCGGAUGACUUGUGGCUGGGGGUGAAAGGCCAAUCAAACCGGGAGAUAGCUGGUUCUCCCCGAAAGCUAUUUAGGUAGCGCCUCGUGAACUCAUCUUCGGGGGUAGAGCACUGUUUCGGCUAGGGGGUCAUCCCGACUUACCAACCCGAUGCAAACUACGAAUACCGAAGAAUGUUAUCACGGGAGACACACGGCGGGUGCUAACGUCCGUCGUGAAGAGGGAAACAACCCAGACCGCCAGCUAAGGUCCCAAAGUCACAGUUAAGUGGGAAACGAUGUGGGAAGGCACAGACAGCCAGGAUGUUGGCUUAGAAGCAGCCAUCAUUUAAAGAAAGCGUAAUAGCUCACUGGUCGAGUCGGCCUGCGCGGAAGAUGUAACGGGGCUAAACUGUGCACCGAAGCUGCGGCAGCGACACUAUGUGUUGUUGGGUAGGGGAGCGUUCUGUAAGCCUGCGAAGGUGGCCUGUGAGGGUUGCUGGAGGUAUCAGAAGUGCGAAUGCUGACAUAAGUAACGAUAAUGCGGGUGAAAAGCCCGCACGCCGGAAGACCAAGGGUUCCUGUCCAACGUUAAUCGGGGCAGGGUGAGUCGACCCCUAAGGCGAGGCCGAAAGGCGUAGUCGAUGGGAAACAGGUUAAUAUUCCUGUACUUGGUGUUACUGCGAAGGGGGGACGGAGAAGGCUAUGUUAGCCGGGCGACGGUUGUCCCGGUUUAAGCAUGUAGGCGGAGGUUCCAGGUAAAUCCGGUACCUUUUAACGCUGAGGUGUGAUGACGAGGCACUACGGUGCUGAAGUAACAAAUGCCCUGCUUCCAGGAAAAGCCUCUAAGCAUCAGGUAACAUUAAAUCGUACCCCAAACCGACACAGGUGGUCAGGUAGAGAAUACCAAGGCGCUUGAGAGAACUCGGGUGAAGGAACUAGGCAAAAUGGUGCCGUAACUUCGGGAGAAGGCACGCUGAUAUGUAGGUGAAGUCCCUGCGGAUGGAGCUGAAAUCAGUCGAAGAUACCAGCUGGCUGCAACUGUUUAUUAAAAACACAGCACUGUGCAAACACGAAAGUGGACGUAUACGGUGUGACGCCUGCCCGGUGCCGGAAGGUUAAUUGAUGGGGUUAUCCGUAAGGAGAAGCUCUUGAUCGAAGCCCCGGUAAACGGCGGCCGUAACUAUAACGGUCCUAAGGUAGCGAAAUUCCUUGUCGGGUAAGUUCCGACCUGCACGAAUGGCGUAAUGAUGGCCAGGCUGUCUCCACCCGAGACUCAGUGAAAUUGAACUCGCUGUGAAGAUGCAGUGUACCCGCGGCAAGACGGAAAGACCCCGUGAACCUUUACUAUAGCUUGACACUGAACAUUGAGCCUUGAUGUGUAGGAUAGGUGGGAGGCUUUGAAGCGUGGACGCCAGUCUGCGUGGAGCCAACCUUGAAAUACCACCCUUUAAUGUUUGAUGUUCUAACGUUGGCCCCUUAUCGGGGUUGCGGACAGUGUCUGGUGGGUAGUUUGACUGGGGCGGUCUCCUCCCAAAGAGUAACGGAGGAGCACGAAGGUUAGCUAAUCCUGGUCGGACAUCAGGAGGUUAGUGCAAUGGCAUAAGCUAGCUUGACUGCGAGCGUGACGGCGCGAGCAGGUGCGAAAGCAGGUCAUAGUGAUCCGGUGGUUCUGAAUGGAAGGGCCAUCGCUCAACGGAUAAAAGGUACUCCGGGGAUAACAGGCUGAUACCGCCCAAGAGUUCAUAUCGACGGCGGUGUUUGGCACCUCGAUGUCGGCUCAUCACAUCCUGGGGCUGAAGUAGGUCCCAAGGGUAUGGCUGUUCGCCAUUUAAAGUGGUACGCGAGCUGGGUUUAGAACGUCGUGAGACAGUUCGGUCCCUAUCUGCCGUGGGCGCUGGAGAAUUGAGGGGGGCUGCUCCUAGUACGAGAGGACCGGAGUGGACGCAUCACUGGUGUUCGGGUUGUCAUGCCAAUGGCAUUGCCCGGUAGCUAAAUGCGGAAGAGAUAAGUGCUGAAAGCAUCUAAGCACGAAACUUGCCCCGAGAUGAGUUCUCCCUGACUCCUUGAGAGUCCUGAAGGAACGUUAAAGACGAUGACGUUGAUAGGUCGGGUGUGUAAGCGUAGCGAUACGUUGAGCUAACCGAUACUAAUGAACCGUGAGGCUUAACCUU